rnacentral:tRNA from 1 species
ACCUUUUCACACUUAUCUUGAAAAUAAGUACUAGAGAAAUCUAAAAGGUU